rnacentral:rRNA from 1 species
AACGAACGCUGGCGGCGUGCCUAAUACAUGCAAGUCGAACGAGGAAAGCUUUCGGGUGAGUACUAGUGGCGCACGGGUGAGGAAUAUAUGGGUAAUCUGCCCUCGAGUUGGGGAUAACCAGUCGAAAGACUGGCUAAUACCGAAUAAGACCACAGGAUCUGCGGAUCUAGGGGUUAAAGGUUUUUCGCUUGAGGAUGAGCCCAUACGGGAUUAGCUAGUUGGCGAGGUAAUGGCUCACCAAGGCUAAGAUCCCUAACUGGUCUUAGAGGAUGAUCAGUCAUACUGGAACUGAGACACGGUCCAGACUCCUACGGGAGGCAGCAGUAGGGAAUAUUGCACAAUGGGGGAAACCCUGAUGCAGCGACGCCGCGUGAGUGAUGAAGGCCUUCGGGUCGUAAAGCUCUGUCGUAUGGGACUAACACAAUGAAGGUACCAUGCAAGAAAGGAUCGGCUAACUUCGUGCCAGCCGCCGCAGUAA